UGUGUCAAUCACCUCUGAUGAAGAUCUCGUCAAUCUCAUUGAAGAAUAUGAUCGUGCUGCGGCUGCAUCACCAUCGUCCUCCCUCAAGAUCAGAGCUUUUCUUUCACCACCCAAAUCCACAAAAAAAGUUGUCUCUUCUCCUUCUUCCACUGCUUCUUCAUCAUCUACAACCACCAACACUACUUCUAGUAAUUGUGAUGCGAACUCGCCUAAGUCAUUUUGUACCACAGCUGCAGCUAGUCCUCCAACUACUGUAACUUCAUCAUGGUAUCGUGGUCAAGUUAAUUAUAAUGAGAUGUGUGUCCGUCAGACGAUGGCAAAGCCGCAGAUGGUUGUUCCUCUCUGUUAUCAGAAAGCUGCAGGAAAGCUCCCUCAGCAUACCUACCAUGGUCUUGGGAAUACUAGUAGCCAUAUUUAUCUGAUUCACCAUGGCAACCAUCGGCAAUAAUAGCAGCUAUUCUGUUCACAAGGAGGACAAAAUGAACUUGGAAUAUAUAUACCUAAAAUUGGUAUUACCUAAUGAAAGAAAAAACCCAACAAGCAAAAAAGAAACUAGAGGAGUAUAUAUGUAUAUAUAUAUAUAUAUAUAGAUUUAUGUAUUGUACGAACUAAGAAGGGCGUGUAGAUCAUUAAUAGGAUUGGUGUAUUUUCAUUGUCAAUCCGUCCUUGGCUUAUUAAUCAAAAUAGGUUUCCAAUCGGAUGGAAAUGUGUCCAAUUUCGUCUAAUUCUGAUGGUGAGUUCUUUAAAUUGUCUUUAGAUCUCCUUUGAUUUAGAAAUGGAGGACGGUCUGGAGUCUGGACACUCUAUAUCACCUGUUUGUGUUAUGUGUGCCUUCGUUAAAACUCUUCAUCUUCUCGGCAUUUUCCAUCGCAUAAGCCUACGAUCUAUUUAUCUUGUCUAAUUAUCUCUACUGCCACGCUAAUCAUUAUACUUCCUCUUCUGAAACUAUCCAUUCCUUGAUUUCCCUCUGGCAAGUGGGGUUCAGCCCCUUAAUUCAAGGAAGUUGUUUUCUUCCUUUCUUCUUCAUUUUCAAAGUUAGCAGAAGCAGGCAGCCCACGUUUCUCAUUUUUCUGUUAAAAAUGACAGGCUGUAGAAGUUGAAAGGUCAAGAUUGGUAGGCAUAUUUUUGCCU
rnacentral:lncRNA from 1 species